rnacentral:rRNA from 1 species
UACGGGGGGAGCAAGCGUUGUUCGGCUUUCCUGUUCUUCCCUUUCUCUUAGGCGGUCAGCACAAGUCAGUUGUGAAAUCUCCGGGCUUAACUCGGAAAGGUCAACUGAUACUGUGCGACUAGAGUGCGGAAGGGGCAACUGGAAUUCUCGGUGUAGCGGUGAAAUGCGUAGAUAUCGAGAGGAACACCUGCGGCGAAGGCGGGUUGCUGGGCCGACACUGACGCUGAUGCGCGAAAGCCAGGGGAGCGAACGGG